rnacentral:rRNA from 1 species
AGUGAACGCUGGCGGUAGGCCUAACACAUGCAAGUCGAACGGCAGCACAGUAAGAGCUUGCUCUUACGGGUGGCGAGUGGCGGACGGGUGAGGAAUACAUCGGAAUCUACUUUUUCGUGGGGGAUAACGUAGGGAAACUUACGCUAAUACCGCAUACGACCUACGGGUGAAAGCAGGGGAUCUUCGGACCUUGCGCGAUUGAAUGAGCCGAUGUCGGAUUAGCUAGUUGGCGGGGUAAAGGCCCACCAAGGCGACGAUCCGUAGCUGGUCUGAGAGGAUGAUCAGCCACACUGGAACUGAGACACGGUCCAGACUCCUACGGGAGGCAGCAGUGGGGAAUAUUGGACAAAGGGCGCAAGCCUGAUCCAGCCAUACCGCGUGGGUGAGGAAGGCCUUCGGGUUGUAAAGCCCUUUUGUUGGGAAAGAAAAGCAGCAGGUUAAUACCCCGCUGUUCUGACGGUACCCAAAGAAUAAGCACCGGCUAACUUCGUG